AGAGUAGAACAGAUGGUCGCGUUUCGAUGAAAUCUUUGUUUUGGUCGCAAUUUCUCGUUAGCGACCAAAAUGGAUAUCGGGAUGAGGAAAGUCCGAACUCCACAGGCCAAUGGUGCUGGGUAACGCCCAGGCAGAGUAAUCUGACAGCUAGCGCAACAGAAAGCAGACCGCCUCGGUUCGAUGAAUCGGGGUAAGGGUGAAACGGUGGGGUAAGAGCCCACCAGUCCCGGUGGUGACA
rnacentral:RNase_P_RNA from 1 species